GCCGGCCUAGCUCAAUUGGUAGAGCAACUGACUUGUAAUCAGUAGGUUGGGGGUUCAAGUCCUCUGGCAGGCACCA
rnacentral:tRNA from 3 species